AGAGUUUGAUCCUGGCUCAGGAUGAACGCUAGCUACAGGCUUAACACAUGCAAGUCGAGGGGCAGCAUUGGAGUAGCAAUACUCAGAUGGCGACCGGCGCACGGGUGAGUAACACGUAUCCAACCUGCCGCUUACUCGGGGAUAGCCUUUCGAAAGAAAGAUUAAUACCCGAUGGUAUAAAGAGUUCGCAUGUUCUCUUUAUUAAAGAAUUUCGGUAAGCGAUGGGGAUGCGUUCCAUUAGAUAGUUGGCGGGGUAACGGCCCACCAAGUCUACGAUGGAUAGGGGUUCUGAGAGGAAGGUCCCCCACAUUGGAACUGAGACACGGUCCAAACUCCUACGGGAGGCAGCAGUGAGGAAUAUUGGUCAAUGGACGAGAGUCUGAACCAGCCAAAGUAGCGUGAAGGAUGACUGCCCUAUGGGUUGUAAACUUCUUUUAUAAGGGAAUAAAGUGAGGGACGUGUCCCUUUUUGUAUGUACCUUAUGAAUAAGGAUCGGCUAACUCCGUGCCAGCCGCCGC
rnacentral:rRNA from 1 species